rnacentral:rRNA from 1 species
AACGAACGCUGGCGGCAGGCUUAACACAUGCAAGUCGAACGCAUCCUUCGGGGUGAGUGGCAGACGGGUGAGUAACGCGUGGGAACGUGCCCUUCAGUUCGGGAUAACCCAGGGAAACUUGGGCUAAUACCGGAUACGUGCGAGAGCAGAAAGAUUUAUCGCUGAAGGAUCGGCCCGCGUCUGAUUAGCUGGUUGGUGGGGGUAAUGGCCCACCAAGGCGACGAUCAGUAGCUGGUCUGAGAGGAUGAUCAGCCACAUUGGGACUGAGACACGGCCCAAACUCCUACGGGAGGCAGCAGUGGGGAGUAUUGGACAAUGGGCGCAAGCCUGAUCCAGCCAUGCCGCGUGAGUGAUGAAGGCCUUAGGGUUGUAAAGCUCUUUCGUCCGGGACGAUAAUGACGGUACCGGAAGAAGAAGCCCCGGCUAACUUCGUGCCAGCAGCCGCAGUAAGAC